UUAAUUUAAGUGAACAUUGUCACGCUAAUCUUUGACAUUAGAAAAAUUAAUCAGCUUUAAUAAAUUAAA
rnacentral:tRNA from 1 species